rnacentral:rRNA from 1 species
GACGAACGCUGGCGGCGUGCUUAACACAUGCAAGUCGAACGAAGUGGCGAACGGGUGAGUAACGCGUAAUCAACCUGCCCUUCAGAGGGGGACAACAGUUGGAAACGACUGCUAAUACCUCAUACUGAAGUAGGGGAUUGCGUCUGAUUCGCUAGUUGGAGGGGUAACGGCCCACCAAGGCGAUGAUCAGUAGCCGGGCUGAGAGGAUGAACGGCCAAAGUGGGAAUGGGACACGGCCCAGACUCCUACGGGAGGCAGGAGGGGGGAAUCUUCCGCAAUGGAGGAAAGUCUGACGGAGCAACGCCGCGGGAGGGAUGACGGCCUUCGGGUUGUAAAGCUCUGUUAAUCGGGACGCGGUACCGGAAGAGAAAGCCACGGCUAACUACGUGCCAGCAGCCGCGGUAAUAC